rnacentral:rRNA from 1 species
UACGUAGGGGGCUAGCGUUGUCCGGAUUUAUUGGGCGUAAAGAGCGUGUGAGCGGCCAGGUAGGUCUGGUGUGAAGACUCGAGGCUUAACCUCGAGAUGUCAUCGGAAACCAUCUGGCUAGAGUCCGGAAGAGGAGAGUGGAAUCCUGGUGUAGCGGUGAAAUGCGCAGAUAUCAGGAGGAACACCGAUGGCGAAGGCAGGUCUCUGGGCAUUAACUGACGCUGAGGAGCGAAAGCAUGGGGAGCGAACAGG